rnacentral:rRNA from 1 species
GAUGAACGCUGACAGAAUGCUUAACACAUGCCAGUCUACCUGAACUUCGGUUUGGGUGGCGGACGGGUGAGUAACGCGUAAAGAACUUGCCUCACAGAUAGGGACAACAUUUGGAAACGAAUGCUAAUACCUGAUAUUAUGAUUUUAGGGCAUCCUAGAAUUAUGAAAGCUAUAUGCACUGUGAGAGAGCUUUGCGUCCCAUUAGCUAGUUGGAGAGGUAACGGCUCACCAAGGCGAUGAUGGGUAGCCGGCCUGAGAGGGUGAACGGCCACAAGGGGACGGAGACACGGCCCUUACUCCUACGGGAGGCAGCAGUGGGGAAUAUUGGACAAAGGACCAAGAGUCUGAUCAAGCAAUUCUGUGUGCACGAUGAAGUUUUUCGGAAUGAAAAGUGCUUUCAGUUGGGAAGAAAAAAAUGACGGUACCAACAGAAGAAGUGACGGCUAAAUACGUG